AGGAAGAUUCCAUAUGUUGGUUAAUGGGUUGAGCUGUAAACUCAAUAGUCUUUGACUACCGAAGGUUCGAUUCCUUUUCUUCCUA